AACGAACGCUGGCGGCAGGCCUAACACAUGCAAGUCGAGCGAACCCUUCGGGGUUAGCGGCGGACGGGUUAGUAACGCGUGGGAAUAUACCCUUUGGUACGGAAUAGCCUCGGGAAACUGAGAGUAAUACCGUAUGUGCCCUUCGGGGGAAAGAUUUAUCGCCAAAGGAUUAGCCCGCGUUGGAUUAGAUAGUUGGUGGGGUAAUGGCCUACCAAGUCUACGAUCCAUAGCUGGUUUGAGAGGAUGAUCAGCAACACUGGGACUGAGACACGGCCCAGACUCCUACGGGAGGCAGCAGUGGGGAAUCUUAGACAAUGGGCGCAAGCCUGAUCUAGCCAUGCCGCGUGGACGAUGAAGGCCUUAGGGUUGUAAAGUCCUUUCAGAUGGGAAGAUAAUGACGGUACCAUCAGAAGAAGCCCCGGNUAACUCCGUG
rnacentral:rRNA from 1 species